rnacentral:rRNA from 1 species
GUGAGUAGUUCGAGUUUGAUCCGGCUCAGGAUGAACGCUGGCGGCGUGCUUAACACAUGCAAGUCGAACGAAGCGACUGAGAUUGAGACUUCGGUUGAUUGACCAGUUGACUUAGUGGCGGACGGGUGAGUAACGCGUGGGUAACCUGCCUUACACAGGGGGAUAACAGUUAGAAAUGACUGCUAAUACCGCAUAACCCGCUAGGGCCGCAUGGCCCAGACGGAAAAGAUUUAUCGGUGUAAGAUGGACCCGCGUCUGAUUAGCUAGUUGGUGAGGUAACGGCCCACCAAGGCGACGAUCAGUAGCCGGCCUGAGAGGGUGAACGGCCACAUUGGGACUGAGACACGGCCCAA